UACAGAGGGGUGCAAACGUUUGUUCGGGAAUUACUGGGCGUAAAGCGCGUGUAGGCGGCUAUGUAAGUCGGGGCGUGAAAAUCCCCACGGCUCAACCGUGGAAGUGCACUCGAAACUGCAUAGCUAGAGUCCUGGAGAGGAAGGUGGAUGCUUGGUGUAGAGGUGAAAUUCGUAGAUAUCAAGCGGAACACCGGUGGCGAAGG
rnacentral:rRNA from 1 species